rnacentral:rRNA from 1 species
UACGUAGGGCGCGAGCGUUGUCCGGAUUUAUUGGGCGUAAAGAGCUCGUAGGCGGCUUGUCGCGUCGUCCGUGAAAACCCACAGCUCAACUGUGGGCUUGCGGUCGAUACGGGCAGGCUAGAGUUCGGUAGGGGAGACUGGAAUUCCUGGUGUAGCGGUGAAAUGCGCAGAUAUCAGGAGGAACACCGGUGGCGAAGGCGGGUCUCUGGGCCGAUACUGACGCUGAGGAGCGAAAGCAUGGGGAGCGAACAGG